rnacentral:rRNA from 1 species
UGUCUUCGGAUAUAGAGACCGGCGCACGGGUGCGUAACGCGUAUGCAAUCUACCUUUUACAGGGGAAUAGCCCAGAGAAAUUUGGAUUAAUGCCCCAUAGUAUUAUGAAAUGGCAUCAUUUUAUAAUUAAAGUCACAACGGUAAAAGAUGAGCAUGCGUCCCAUUAGUUAGUUGGUAAGGUAACGGCUUACCAAGACAAUGAUGGGUAGGGGUCCUGAGAGGGAGAUCCCCCACACUGGUACUGAGACACGGACCAGACUCCUACGGGAGGCAGCAGUGAGGAAUAUUGGACAAUGGGCGCAAGCCUGAUCCAGCCAUGCCGCGUGCAGGAAGACGGUCCUAUGGAUUGUAAACUGCUUUUAUACAGGAAGAAACACUCCGACGUGUCGGAGCUUGACGGUACUGUAGGAAUAAGGAUCGGCUAACUCCGUGCCAGCAGCCGCGGUAAUACGGAGGAUCCAAGCGUUAUCCGGAAUCAUUGGGUUUAAAGGGUCCGUAGGCGGUUUAAUAAGUCAGUGGUGAAAUCUGGUCGCUCAACGAUCAAACGGCCAUUGAUACUGUUAGACUUGAAUUAUAAGGAAGUAACUAGAAUAUGUAGUGUAGCGGUGAAAUGCUUAGAUAUUACAUGGAAUACCAAUUGCGAAGGCAGGUUACUACUUAUGGAUUGACGCUGAUGGACGAAAGCGUGGGGAGCGAACAGGAUUAGAUACCCUGGUAGUCCACGCCGUAAACGAUGGAUACUAGCUGUUGGGAGCAAUCUCAGUGGCUAAGCGA